UACGUAGGGUGCAAGCGUUGUCCGGAAUUAUUGGGCGUAAAGAGCUUGUAGGCGGUUUGUCGCGUCUGCUGUGAAAUUUCGGGGCUCAACCCCGAACUUGCAGUGGGUACGGGCAGACUAGGAGUGUGGUAGGGGAGACUGGAAUUCCUGGUGUAGCGGUGAAAUGCGCAGAUAUCAGGAGGAACACCGAUGGCGAAGGCAGGUCUCUGGGCCAUAACUGACGCUGAGAAGCGAAAGCAUGGGGAGCGAACAGG
rnacentral:rRNA from 1 species